UGGGGAAUUUUGGACAAUGGGCGAAAGCCUGAUCCAGCAAUGCCGCGUGUGUGAAGAAGGCCUUCGGGUUGUAAAGCACUUUUGUCCGGAAAGAAAUCCUUGGCUCUAAUACAGUCGGGGGAUGACGGUACCGGAAGAAUAAGCACCGGCUAACUACGUGCCAGCAGCCGCGGUAAUACGUAGGGUGCAAGCGUUAAUCGGAAUUACUGGGCGUAAAGCGUGCGCAGGCGGUUUGCUAAGACCGAUGUGAAAUCCCCGGGCUCAACCUGGGAACUGCAUUGGUGACUGGCAGGCUAGAGUAUGGCAGAGGGGGGUAGAAUUCCACGUGUAGCAGUGAAAUGCGUAGAGAUGUGGAGGAAUACCGAUGGCGAAGGCAGCCCCCUGGGCCAAGUACUGACGCUCAUGCACGAAAGCGUGGGGAGCAAACAGGAUUAGAUACCCUGGUAGUCCACGCCCUAAANGAUGUCAACUAGUUGUUGGGGAUUCAUUUUCCUUAGUAACGUAGCUAACGCGUGAAGUUGACCGCCUGGGGGAGUACGGUCGCAAGAUUAAAACUCAAAUAAUUG
rnacentral:rRNA from 1 species